AUGGUGGAGGAACCGUCCGCCAAGCAUCACCAUGGUGAGACGUCAAACAAGAGCAACAACCUCGUCAAAAUUCACGUCCCCGGCGAGAAGCGUGAGUACACCAAAACACUCAAAGGGGUUGAGCUCCAUGGCAAGGAGAUGGUAGAGAUCGUCUGCACCAGCGUACCAAACAAGGCUGACCAGGUGAUGAGCAGGCUCAGGAUGAAGGGCGGCGGCUUGUAUCCGAGCUUCAUCAGAGUUGAUGUGGAGCCCAAGCGCCUCAAAGACAUCCUGCAGGAGAAGAAAUUGUACACAUUUGUCGGUUUCAGCAUUGGAGGUGACAAGCGGAUGUUGGACAAGUCUGGUUUGGAGAUCCACCCCAACAACUUCAUCGACAUGCAGCGCAAGUGGAAAGAUCCAAAGACCGACAAAUACUACGAGUCCUUGGCCGAUGUUGCAGGCGGCGUCAUCCACGCAUUCUACGAUGGCAUGAAGACAAAUAUGGACAGGGCAGACCACAAACUGUGGGGCACCAGCCCGCUGCCAGACAACCUCAUCAUGUACGCAGGAAUAGAUACAUAUGCAACGUACAAGUCAUGGAAUACAAUCGACAACAUCGUGACAAGUUGGGAUAUUUCAAAAGAGUAG
rnacentral:rRNA from 1 species